AAUUUUUGUUCUCUCUGCAUCUAAUUAGGUUAGAACCUAAUCAGAGAGACGGAGUUUCGACGAAGAAAUCAAGGAUCUUCAUAUCCUCUACUCGAGCCAAAAUUUCAAUCACAGAAACAAUCUCACAAAGCCUGCGAAUGUAGAUACAUAUAUAUGAUAGAUGAGCCAAAUGCAUAUCUUGAUUUGGAACAGUGUAUAGUUGGCUCAAAAGUCAUUAAGAGGUUUAUCCUCCAUGGAAAAAAGACUGCUUUUGUUGUCGGCCAUGAUCAUCUAAUGGCGACUUAUCUUGCUGACUGAUUGUGUAUGAGGGGCAACCGUCUAUUUGGCUGUACUGCGAAUGUUCCUGAGUCUCCGUUAACUAGAGAUGAACCUUUUCCUAUCAAGUUGCAGUUCUAGCAUGUUAAAUUACUUUUCUAUUUUCUUUUUCAUUGUUAAUGUUCAGCAACUCAUGUUUCAUACAUUUUCUUUAUGUGCUUCAAAAUGUUUCUCAAUUUCUUAAAUUUAAUUUAAUGGUCACCGCAAUAAAAGAUUUUGAUCUAAAAAGGAUCAAGAGAAAUGUCAAAAACACUUUGUGUAAAUGGAUAUUUGUGAUUGAAAAAACAUUGAAUGAAAAAAAUUCAAUUUUAGUUGGAACAUAA